rnacentral:ncRNA from 1 species
GCAGAGUAGGAACAGCGCGUUAAGUGCGGUGGGACGGGAUGUUGCUCACCGACGAAACAGCCGUUUUCUCACAAAGAGAAAAUCGGGUGUGCGGUGCUGUCUCCGCGUCCGCUGC